CACAGAGGGAUUCCAGGCAUGCAGAAGCACCUGCUUAGAAGGCUCUGCCCUGCUCCUUCCUGCUCUAACUCUUAAGUGUCUUGAAAAAAGAAAGACCUUACAGGCCAUCUAGCCAUGUUGACGAGCAUGGAGACCCUGAAUCUAAGGAGCUGAUAACAAUAAAGUGUUGCAUGGCCUGAAGAUAAACCUGGAGGGACCUUCAAGGUCUUCUUCCUGCAAACUUUCUGCACUCCUAACUCCACCGCAGCAUCUGCCUUCUGGAGAACACAGCUGUCACACCUGUGUUAAGCUCCAAAGCGCUGGAGGUACCUAGUGCCUGGAUGAAACUAGAGACAUGGAGAUAUUGCACCCAAUAGGACAAGGAUGAAUCCAGCCCACAGGCCACCAGAGAGGAGGAAUACAGCUAAGUGGCUGAGGGCAUGGAUGCUAGCAGCUGGCACCAGCGCUAACCAAGGGCUUAUCAGGACAAGGGAGGCAGCUCCCCUCCAUGCCAGCCAACUGCACUUAGGUGACGAUGCUGAGGAUUUCUGCAGUCUAAGUUACUCUGAAGCUUGGGCAAAUUGUUUUACUGCCUUCAGCCUUAGUUACCCCAUAUAUAAAAUGGGAUAAGUGACACGUGUUGUUAAAGUUCACCUUUCAUCGGACCCCAAAAUGAUUCUAGAGAUAGAGAGCAGAUUAGGGGUCGCUUAGGGCUGAGGAAGAUGGGGCUAUAGGAGGCUGAUAGCUAAAGGGCACAGGGUUUCUUUCUGAUGUGAUGAAAAAGCUCUAAAAUUGACUGCGGUGAUGAUUGCAUAACUCUGUGAAUAUACUCAAAAAUCACUGAAUUGUACACUCUGAAUGAGCGAGUUGUAUAACACGUGAAUUGUAUUUCAACCAAGCUGCUAUUUUAAAACACUUAGCUCAAUGAAUCAUUGCAAGAUGAAUAACCCAUGUAACCAUCACCCAAGUCAGGAAAUGGAAUAUUCUAGAAUCCCAAAGUCCACCUACCGCCUGCGAGGACAUGUAUUUUUUGUUUGUUUGUUUAGUCUCCUGUCCCCAGAAAUCUUAUGGCACAUCUCUGAAAUAGGUCAUUUGGUGUGACUGGUAUUAACUUCCACUGGGUCUGCAAGGAAACAUGGUGGCCUCCCUGGUGAUCCUUCUCAUGAAACACAGAGUUCAUUCCUAGCGUCCUAUUUUAAAAGGGAUACUGGCAAAUCUGAGCCCAUCCCAAAGGUGUGUGAACAGAUGAGGAGAUCUAGUGUUCACAUGAACAAAAGCUGAGGAUCCAGGUCCACAUAGCCUGGAGAAAAGAUUUCUGGGGGACCGAAUUGUUGUCUUUCCAUAGUAAAGGGUUACCACAUGGAAGUGAAGGCACCUGUGCUUUGUCACCCACAGGGCAGAUCUAGGAAACAGGAGAUGGGGCAGUGCCAACAUGUAUAGUGUCCAGCAUUACAUAUGGCACGUGACACACAAAUACCACCAGAGUCAUUUAUCAAGGGCCUAGUACAUGUCGGGCUUUGCGUGUUCUCUCGAAUCCUCACAAAGACCUUGUCAGAUGGGUAUAAUAAUCCAUGUUUUGCAAAAGAGGAAUGAACUGGGAGAAGAAGAUUUGCCAAUGGG
rnacentral:lncRNA from 1 species